CUGUCAAGCUAGAGUGCAGGAGAGGAAGGUAGAAUUCCCGGUGUAGCGGUGAAAUGCGUAGAGAUCGGGAGGAAUACCAGUGGCGAAGGCGGCCUUCUGGACUGACACUGACACUGAGGUGCGAAAGCGUGGGUAGCAAACAGGAUUAGAUACCCUGGUAGUCCACGCCGUAAACGAUGUCGACCAGCCGUUGGGUGCCUAGCGCACUUUGUGGCGAAGUUAACGCGAUAAGUCGACCGCCUGGGGAGUACGGCCGCAAGGUUAAAACUCAAAUGAAUUGACGGGGGCCCGCACAAGCGGUGGAGCAUGUGGUUUAAUUCGAUGCAACGCGAAGAACCUUACCUACUCUUGACAUCCUGCGAACUUGUGAGAGAUCACUUGGUGCCUUCGGGAACGCAGAGACAGGUGCUGCAUGGCUGUCGUCAGCUCGUGUUGUGAAAUGUUGGGUUAAGUCCCGUAACGAGCGCAACCCUUGUCCUUAUUUGCCAGCGGGUAAUGCCGGGAACUCUAAGGAGACUGCCGGUGACAAACCGGAGGAAGGUGGGGACGACGUCAAGUCAUCAUGGCCCUUACGAGUAGGGCUACACACGUGCUACAAUGGCCGGUACAAAGGGUUGCGAGCUCGCGAGAGUCAGCUAAUCCCGAAAAGCCGGUCUCAGUCCGGAUCGGAGUCUGCAACUCGACUCCGUGAAGUCGGAAUCGCUAGUAAUCGUGAAUCAGAAUGUCACGGUGAAUACGUUCCCGGGCCUUGUACACACCGCCCGUCACACCAUGGGAGUGGACUGCACCAGAAGUGGUUAGCUUAACCUUCGGAAAGCGA
rnacentral:rRNA from 1 species